rnacentral:tRNA from 1 species
ACUUAAGUAGCUUAAUUAGAGUAUAGCAUUGAAGAUGCUAGGGUGAUAUUAUAUCCUUAAGUA